AGAACAAUUCACUCCUUCCAUUUGUUUCAAACAUGUUUUGAGAGCCUCGCCUGGGCAAAAGCUUCGACAUGCCGGAAAUCACUUAUGGCGGCGGAGGUCCAAACCCAUCAAAUUGUUCGUCGUAACUCCCUCAUUCACAAUCCAUCAACAUUUUUCUUUAAUUCCUAAUCACUGAUUCGAACCGAGGCAACAUAACUAUGAACCCUAUGUAUCAGAUUCCAAAAUUAAAUGGUGUAGAGGAGGAAUCAAAGCCUAAAUCGUUAGGGCUUUGAUUCCUCGGGUCGAAUUCUACAUGGGUGGUAACGUGAAUCAAUGUGAAUGGAUGAAGAAGAAGAGUUGCCUACCUACGAGUCGGAUAAGGGCCCCGGUUUUAUAGGAAUUGGCGUAGACGAAGCGAAAAAUAAAGGACAAUCACAAAUGUUCAGGUUUAGGCAUGACCUAUGGGAGUGAUCAAUAUUGGCAAUGGUCAAAGUUGGCAAGACAUGGGUCAAGGUGCUUUCAUGAAGGGACUUUGGAUACCUAAAGAUCCAUGCGGGGUUUUAGGCAAAAAAGAGAAGGCUUAGGAAUGGAGAAUAAGGAGGAUUAUGGUUCAAGAUAGGUAGUUGACUUUGGUCAAUUGUUUGAUCAAAAAUUGUUUGAUCAAAAAGUCAACAGUUGACCAAAAGUCAAUUUAAGUCAAAAUUACGGUUUUUUGUAUAAUGUUUGAAAUUUUAAAUUUUUGUAAUGAAAUGUUUGAUAUUGUAAUGAUAUUGACCUUUGAAAAUGAAUUGUGUCAUGUGCUUUGAAAUUUAA